AGCGGCGGACGGCUGAGUAACGCGUGGGAACAUACCCUAAAGUGAGCGAUAACUACUCGAAAGAGUGGCUAAUACCGCAUAUGAUCUUCGGAUUAAAGCAUUUAUGCGCUUUAGGAAUGGCCUGCGUACGAUUAGAUAGUUGGUGAGGUAAAGGCUCACCAAGUCGACGAUCGUUAGAUGGUUUGAGAGGAUGAUCAUCCAGACUGGGACUGAGACACGGCCCAGACUCCUACGGGAGGCAGCAGUAGGGAAUCUUUCACAAUGGGCGAAAGCCUGAUGGAGCAACGCCGCGUGCAGGAUGAAGGCCUUCGGGUUGUAAACUGCUUUUAUAAGCGAGAAAUAUGAUGGUAACUUAUGAAUAAGGAUCGGCUAACUACGUGCCAGCAGCCGCGGUCAUACGUAGGAUCCGAGCAUUAUCCGGAGUGACUGGGUGUAAAGAGUUGCGUAGGUGGCAUAAUAAGUAGCUAGUGAAAUCUGGUGGCUCAACCAUUCAGACUAUUAGCUAAACUGUUGAGCUCGAGACCGUUAGGGGUAACUGGAAUUUCUAGUGUAGGAGUGAAAUCCGUAGAUAUUAGAAGGAACACCGAUAGCGUAGGCAGGUUACUGGGACGGUUCUGACACUAAGGCNCGAAAGCAUAGGGAGCAAACGGGAUAAGAUACCCUGGU
rnacentral:rRNA from 1 species